rnacentral:sRNA from 1 species
CAACAAAGUGAUAUGUCACAUUGCUGAAAUGGAAGUCUCAGCAUGCACAGUCCUCUUUUACUAUGGGUGGAAAACAGUUGAGGUUAGACACCAGCGAAGUUCUUGCUUUUAAGUUUCAGUUUCAGAAGAACAUCUGAGAAAAAACGACCAAGUGAAGCCUUUUCUGGUUUCACACCUAGUAAGUCCUUGAUACUUAGGCCAGCAUCCCAUUCUUGCUGAAUCUGAAAUAGGCAACACCUAACUAUACAGGCUCUCAUCUACUUCCGAAGGCUAAUCCUCCAGGGGCAAGCCAGCAGACGUGGGCAAGUGGUGAUAGCAUCCCUGAGACAGAGGGACUACAAGCUUCACUAUCAUUUCUGACACCAACAAUGAAUUUCGUGGUGGAUGAAACAGCAGCAAUCAACUCAAACAAUGUAUCCCAGCAAUUGGCACAAAAAACGUAUACACUGGAGAAGAAAGAAGCAAUGGAGGAAGAUGAAGCGCCCCAGCACAGAGAUGCUGACAUAGUACAGGGAAAAGGGGAGGCAGCACUGAGGGGAGAAGCAGGAGUUGUUCAUGAGGCUCCCUUGAGGGCGUGGAAGCCAACAGCAGAGCAGCCAGAAUUGGCAGAAGAGUUUACAGAAAAAAGGGAGAUCCCUCCAGGCAUAGAAAGGGGGGCAGAGGCAGCAGCAGAAGCAGAAGGGGCCAGAAGGCUGGGUGAAGGGGGGUCAGACCCCAUAGGACAAGCAGCAGCAAAAGAUGCUGUGGGUCUGAGUAAAGAGGAGGCUCCUGAAAAGCAAGCCUUGAUGCUCACAGUGCUUGAGACAGAGAAAGCAGCUUCUGAAGGGGAACAGGGUUUUGAGAAGGCAGUGCUUGCAAAUAAGGCAGCAGCCCUGAACUCGGAGCAUCUUCAUGAAGUAGCAGCCCUGAGAGAGGCAGCGACAUCGGAGGAGGGAGAGGCUGAGGGUAGGGUGGCUGUGAGUGAUGUCAGAGAAAGUGAAGAGGAAGCAUCCAUAGACCUAGAGGACACAGGACCCAUGGAGGACACAGCAUCAAAGAGAGAGGAUGGUUCUGAAGAGGCAAUUCUUGGGGGAGAGGAACCAGCCAAAGAGAGAAAGGAGGUUAUGAGAACAGAAACACCCUUGAGCCCCUUCACAGGAGACGCAGAGGCAAGCCGGAUGCAGGUUUCGGAGGGCAGCCCUGAAGACCUUUGCAAGGAAGAUGUGGAAGGGGAAGAGAUGGUGACUGAGGCAGAAGCUAAUAGGGAAGAUGAUAACAAAGAAAUGUUACCCAAGGAAUUAGAUGUAGCAAGAGAGCGAAGGAAAGCUGAGAGGCCAAAAACAUCUCUGAGGAAAACUGACUCUGAGAGAGAAGAGGUGACAAGGGCAAAUGCACUCAAGGGUGAAGACGCUUUUAAAGAAGAGCAAAAACUUAAAGCGGAAGAGGGGAAAACAGAGACGGAAGUAAGAUCUGAGAAAGAGACAAAAGCCCCCCCAAAUGAAAUGGGAUCUGAUGCUGAGAACGAAGCACCUGUGGAGGCAUCUGAGUUAUCUGACAAUCCAGGGCUUCUAGGAGAAGAUUCACUAAAAGAGACAGUGGUUCCCAUAUUUGAAGCAACGCCUGGAUUUGAAAAGUCGCUGGAAAACAUAACAGCUCUGAGGAAAGAAGGAGGAGGGGAAAGACUGAGCGAGGCCAGAGACACAGAGCACAAAGACAGAGAAGAGCUGUCCAGCAGGGAGAAUAGGGCUCUGAAGGAGGGGCACCGCCAAGAUGGAGAGGGGGCCUUAGCAGCUCCUGAAGCUGAGCCAGCAGGAAAGGUGCAGGCCCCUGAGGGGCUGAUCCCAGCCACAGGCCAGGCAGAGGAGCUAGCAGCCAAAGAUCACGACUCCUGCGCAGGACUGGAGGGGAGGGCUGAAGGGCAAGAAGGAGUGGAUGUCGUGCUAAGGACCCAGGAAGCUGUUCCUGAGGAAGAUCCCAUAAUGGCAGAAAAGUUCAGGGAGGAAGCUGUGGAUGAGGACCCAGAGGAGGAAGAGGACAAAGAGUGCACUCUGGAGACAGAAGCGAUGCAGGACAGGAACUCGGAAGGGGACGGGGCCAUGCAAGGAGCAGGAAACACAGAAAAGAAUGAGGGUAUGGGAGGAGGAAGGGUUGUGGCUGAGGAAGUUCAACACGCAGGUGGUGAAACGGCAGAAACAGCCGCAGAGGAGAGGGAGGUGUUGGCAGGUUCGGAGACAGCCGAGGAGAAAACAAUAGCAAAUAAAGCCUCCUCCUUUUCAGAUGUUGCUGAGGAAGAAACCUGGCACCAACAGGAUGAGUUAGUGGGAAAAACAGCAGCUGCAGGGAAAAUGGUGGUAGAGGAAUUAGCAAGGAGUGGGGAGGAAGUGCCAGCAGCAGAAAAGAUGACAGUGACAUGUACAACAGAGGCUGGGGUGGGCACUCCAGGAGCCCUGGAAGAGAAGACCUCAGGGCUAGGACAGGAGCAAGAGGGAGGGUCAGAGGGCCAGGAGGCAGCCACUGGGAGUGGCGAUGGGAGGCAGGAGUCGGGAGCAGCUGAAAAAUUCCGAUUAGGAUUAUCACGGGAGGGAGAGAGGGAACUGAGUCCGGAGAGUCUACAGGCGGUGGCAACACUUCCUGUGAAGCCUGAUUUCACUGAAACCCUAGAGAAGCAACAGCAUAUGGUGCAAGGAGAAAGCGAGACUUCAGAUGUUUCUCCCAACAACAUGCAGGUCUAGGAGACUUGCUGGCAGACGGAUAAUUUAAAGAUGUCUUCUGAAGAUGUAAAGAGUGGAGAAAGAUUCACGCAAGCAUCUCACCAGGAUUCUUGAUUUUCUCUCUCUCUUCUUCUUAGUUGCUGGUUGCGCUUGUCUGAGAUGAUUCCCAAUCUGUCAGCCCUGGUCAGUAGCUCAGUAACCACCUUGAGAAUAGCUCAAGUAGAUCUGUAGGACCCUUCUUAGGAGCAGUGGUUCCUCAUGGAGAAACUUGUGAGGCUGUUACACAUUCUACACACCUAACAUUAUUUUCAAACAAAAAUGAUAAUUUUCAAAUGCUUGACUUUUACCAAAGAUCACUGGAAGGCCUGAUGUUAGGGGUUUGUUUAAAGUCCUUUUUAUUGUACAAUACAGAGCCCCAGUCAAUUCCACAAUCUCAAUUUCAUACAUGGGAAUUUUAUUUAAAAAUCUGUGGUUUGGGGCUUUAAUGAACUGGCCUGUGAAAAUGAGCUCUAAAGUUCCUCCCACGUACACUCAAAACUCAAGAUUGCUCCAAAUCUCUAAGUUCUUCCAGCAAAAGAUUUCUUGGCAUGUAUAUUCACUUAUACUUAGAAAUAUUCAUUCUUUUAAUUUAUGCCAGAAUAACAAAGUGGAAAUCUUAUUUCAAAAUGCUCUUUGUUUUUUUUGUGUGUGUUUCUGUAGUUCUGCUUUCUGGGGUAGACUAGUAAAAUGGUAGCUUCCAGCAUUUUGUCCCUGGGGCCUUAUUUAUAGGGCCACUCAAAUUUAAAUAAAAGUAGUAAAUAAUUUAGCUAAGUGGAAUAAGUAUAAUAAUUAUAGUGGUAAGCAUAGCACAUCAGCAUUAUGCCAACAUUCUAGACUCUUUAGUUGAUGUCAUUAAAUGGAAAAGAAACUCGGAUUAAAUGAGUGUGCUGCUCACCUUCCCAAGUUCUGUUAUUUCAAACCUGUGAACUAACCUUGCAGUUCAUUAUAAAUCAACAGUAACAAUUGCAUUCUAAAUUACUCCCUGAUAUUAUUUUCUAGUUGUGUAUCAGCCUGUCUCCUAGGGGUUUUCAUUUCCUUGAAGACAUACCAGUGCCCCAGAGCGCAUGUAUGUAUCUACCAUUUCUCUAUGUGAGAAGGCAAAAAAAAUUUCCUUAAGCAGUGAUUUUCCAGCCAGAAUAUACAUUAGAUUUUCAUGGGACACUUUUAUAAAUGACUCAACCCUUUUCCCCACCCCAGAGAUUCAGAUUUAAUUCAUUUUAGAUGGAUCUAUGCAUCAGCAUAUAUUUUUUUAACUUUUCACUUGAUUCUUCUCUGUAGCCAAGGUUGAGAACCGCUGCUUAAAUCAUCAUAUAAUCCAUGCUGGCCACAUUACACUCAAGGUCCCUAGGGACCAGGCAUAUUAUCAUAAGAGGUAUUUUCCAUUUUAAUGUGUAAUGGAGCCAUUCAAUAAUCAAAAAUACACUGGGCCAGAUAGUAGACUGGUCCCUUGAUCAGAAGCAUCAGCACAUCAAGCAUCACCUGGAAAUUGUUCCCAGCCUUUGUCUCCUACCUACUAAAUUAGAAACUCUUGGUGGGGUCCAGUAAUCCAUAGCUUAACAAGCCCUCCAGAUAAUACUGAUGUACACUGAUGUCUGAAAACUGCUGUCAUGGACUAUUGAUUGUAUUGAGGAUUAGUCUCAGUUGGAAAGCCAACUACAGAGGCAUUUUGAACUUUCUUUCUUUGCCUCUCUAUGUCUCUCUGUCUUUUCCUGUCUUCUGAUUUAUCUGUCUUCCUUUCUCUAGUAAAUGGCACUCAAUAUAAAAGUGGUGAAGUCAAUCUUAAACUUAUUUUUGUUAUGAUUGUAUUGAUACAUGCACGAAGUCCCUCUGCCCUACUCCCUAUUCAAGGAUAUUACUCACUGUACAUCAUAAAUCUCCAUCAUCUGUCUUAAAGUUUUACGAGUAGAUUUCAUCUACAUUAUAUUCAAGUUCAUUUAUUACUGAGCUGUAUUACUGUGGAGCUCUAACAGUAUUUGUUUCCUGAUUUCAAACUCAAUGCUACAGAGCACUUUGAAUACAUCACACCUUAUGGGAAAGAUAGUAAACUUAUUAAUCCCAUUGAAAAAUUAGUUUUGUACAAUGUGCUAAAUGGUAUUGCAUUGGAUUACUUUUAUAUUUAACACACUCCAUCAAAACAUCCUGUAACAGAAUUCUACAAUCUGCAUGUGAUUUUAACUGUGAAAUUCAGUAUUGUGAUAUUUUGAAUAAGUGAAUUCUUUCUCUGCAAAUACUAUGUUGAUAAAAUUACUUGUAUGUUCACCUGAAAUGGUUUGUUUCCUGUUUCUUCAUUAUUAAAACAUAAAUCAAUCAUAUGUUUA